rnacentral:rRNA from 1 species
AAUAGUCGAAAGGCUGAACCAGCAACUUGGAAGAAUGUAAAGAGGUAAAUCUUCAUAUAGUUCUAGAUAAAAUACAGAGUAUGACGAUUUUUUAUCUAUAAGUCUUGACCAAUUUACGUGCCAGCAGUCGCGGUAAUACGUAGAAGACAAGUGUUAUUCAUAUUUAAUCGGUUUAAAGGGUACCUAGACAGAAAACAAAGCCAAUAUAGGUACUAGUUUUCUAGAGUUUUAUGUGUGAAUAGCGAAUUAUCAGAGAAGGGUCGAAAUCUUUUCAUCCUGGUAGGACGGGUAACGGCAAAUGUUCUAUUCUAUGUAAAAACUGACGUUGAGGGACGAAGCCUUGGGUAGCGAUUAGGAUUCGAAACCCUAGUAGUCCAAGGAGACAACGAUGAAUGUCAUAAAUUAGAUCUUUUUUAAUUUAUAAAUGAAAAUGUAAGCAUUCCACCUUAAGACUAAAGCGGCAACGCCCAAAUUGAAAUCAUUAGACCGUUUCUGAAACCAGUAGUGAAGUAUGUUAUUUAAUUCGAUAAUCCGCGAAUAACCUUACCACGUUUUGAAUCCUAAUGUAAAUUAUCACAAGUGCUGCACGGCUGUCUUCAGUUAAUGUCGUGAGAUUUUGGUUAAUUCCUUUAAUUAACGAAAGCCCUUACUUUAGUUAUAUUUUAAAGUUGCUAGCCGGUAUAAUGGAUAUCAUAAAAGGGACUAAGACAAGUCAUCAUGGCCUUAAUAC